rnacentral:rRNA from 1 species
GACGAACGCUGGCGGCGUGCUUAACACAUGCAAGUCGAACGAAGAGCGACGGAAGCUUGCUUCUAUCAAUCUUAGUGGCGAACGGGUGAGUAACGCGUAAUCAACCUGCCCUUCAGAGGGGGACAACAGUUGGAAACGACUGCUAAUACCGCAUACGAUCUAAUCUCGGCAUCGAGGAUGGAUGAAAGGUGGCCUCUACAUGUAAGCUAUCACUGAAGGAGGGGAUUGCGUCUGAUUAGCUAGUUGGAGG